rnacentral:tRNA from 16 species
UCGUAGCUUAGAGGUAAAGCAUCCGCCUCCUAAGGGCGGAGUCCCGGGUUCGAUCCUCG